AGUGAACGCUGGCGGUAGGCCUAACACAUGCAAGUCGAACGGCAGCACAGUAAGAGCUUGCUCUUACGGGUGGCGAGUGGCGGACGGGUGAGGAAUACAUCGGAAUCUACUUUUUCGUGGGGGAUAACGUAGGGAAACUUACGCUAAUACCGCAUACGACCUACGGGUGAAAGCAGGGGAUCUUCGGACCUUGCGCGAUUGAAUGAGCCGAUGUCGGAUUAGCUAGUUGGCGGGGUAAAGGCCCACCAAGGGGACGAUCCGUAGCUGGUCUGAGAGGAUGAUCAGCCACACGGGAACUGAGACAGGGUCCAGACUACUACGGGAGGCAGCAGUGGGGAAUAUUGGACAAUGGGCGCAAGCCUGAUCCAGCGAUACCGCGUGGGUGAAGGAGGCCUUCGGGUUGUAAAGCCCUUUUGUUGGGAAAGAAAAGCAGCAGGUUAAUACCCCGCUGUUCUGACGGUACCCAAAGAAUAAGCACCGGCUAACUUCGUG
rnacentral:rRNA from 1 species